CUGAAGUGCUGCUGUGCAACAUGAAACCAAACGUCUGCCACUCUGUCAUUGGUGCUCUACAACAGAGACAAAUCCACUGACCAAAGGUGAGGAGUUACACUUAAGUCAUUUUGAUUUAAUACGCAGAAUGAGGUGAACGGGCAUUUUGAGUGUAAAGUUCUUAAAUCUGAUUUAAUUUUUCUUUAAAAAGAUGGAUUUUGUUAUCUUAAAAAAUCCUUAAUCUAUUUUACUAUUUGAACUUUAAAAAAUUACUAUAAUCUCAGAUGUACAAGGUAGAAAUGAACAAAAAUAUGAGAAUAGUAGUGGUUGUUGUUACUUGUGCCUGCCACAAGAGGGAGCUAAACCUCCGCCUUUAUGAGCAACUGCAGAUUUAAAAACACAGACAGGUGAAGCUGUUGAAUGAAUUUAUUCUAAAAAAAAUUUAACCAAAGACCUUUUGCUGUUGAGAAAAUGAGUAAUAUAAAUCAUUGCAGUUGUAUUUGUACACGCAGAAACUGAACAACAGCAAAGCGGGGUCAGAGACCGCAGCUUAAACUGAGCCUCAAACUGGGAGGACACACAUCAGGAGGGAAACCAGUGCAGCUCCAAUUGACCGUCUGAAGUACCUCACAGGCUUUGCUACAUUAGGGAAAGUUUUACAUCUCCACCGGCCAAUCAUGAUUGAAGUGACAGCCUGAUUGAGACUGGCCGGCGUACACAUGCGUCAUCUCUUCAUCAUGCGUUGAAUCAUUGUAAUAAUGGAAGAGAUUGAUCAUAAGUUGCUAAAACAUGAGAUAAUUUAUCUUGAAAUAUUGUUCCAUCUCCUCUGCAUGUGUGGCCUUGAGCGAGAAUGGUAAGAAAUGUGUGCAACCGUGUAGCUCCGCCCUCAGACUCUACAGAUUUAGCUUCACUCAGACCUCUGCAGCAAAAUUAGUAAUUGCUGUAGAUCAUUUUCAGUCCUCUGAAAUUCUCUCUCUCUCUCUUUCUGUGUGUGUGUGUGUGUGUGUGUGUGUGUGUGUGUGUGUGUGUGUGUGUGUGUGUGUGUGUGUGUGUGUGUGUGUGUGUGUGUGUGUGUAGACAGCUGCGUUCUUAUUUAUGUUGGACAAGAUUCUGGUAGUUUCCAAGAAUAUUUCCAGCAUGAGGGAGAGAGAGAGCAAGAGUGUUUCUGAGUUUCUGGCUGAAAUUGGAGCUCUUCAUCUUCCUUACACACAUACAUACAGAGAGAGAGAGAGAGAGAGAGAGAGAGAGGAAGGUCAGGUUUCCACAGAAGUUUGUUUGCAUUUUAAAAAAGGAGAGGAAACAGAAGAUGAUCAGAAUAUAGAGGAGAGAAAAAGGGAGAUCAGGGAAGAAGAGGGUAGAGGAAACAAGGAUUAUAGAUGCAAAUAAAGGAAAGAAGUCAAGGAAACAGAAAAAAGUAAUCCCAAAGAAGCAAUCUUUAUUGAUUUAACUUAAACCCUGGCAUUGAUUAAUUAUUAUCUAAUGAUAACUUUACUUUAACAUGAAAUUAACCUUUUUGAUUAUGCAGUGCUGGGCCCCAACAACUGCAUAUUUGUCCUUUAAUCAAUCAUUAUUUUACAAGUCCAAGUCUGCAGAGGUUGGGAGGCUGUAUAAAAAGCAAAUAUAAAAAUGAACAUAUCCAGAAAAACCUGAAAAAAUCAGAAUUGACAUUCCUUUUGGAAACCAUGGAUACUGCAUCCAUGGUCUGCCUGCAAUCCUGACCAUCAAACUUUAUUAAUUAAGAUAUUUUUUCAUUCUUAAUUUGCCAUGUAUUUGUGACUUCAGCUGCUUGGACCCUCUUGAAAACAGUGCAGUACUUACCUCCAAUAAAAUGGGAAAGAAAGAGAAGGAAACAAGGAAAGAAAAUCUGAGGAAAGGGUAAGGAGCCAAGGCAAGCAUGUGUACUUACCUCACUUUUACUUUUGUGUAUCUAUAUGAGCAAAUGUGUGUUCUUAUUAGU
rnacentral:lncRNA from 1 species